rnacentral:rRNA from 1 species
AGGACGAACGCUGGCGGCGUGCUUAACACAUGCAAGUCGAACGGUUUAUAAGGGCUUGCCCUUAUAGAUAGUGGUGAACGGGUGCGUAACACGUGAGCAACCUGCCCCAAAGUUUGGAAUAACACCGGGAAACCGAUGCUAAUACCAGAUGCCCUCCUCUGAUCGCAUGAUCGGUUGAGGAAAGUUUUUCGCUUCGGGAGGGCUCGCGGCCUAUCAGCUUGUUGGUGAGGUAACGGCUCACCAAGGCUUCGACGGGUAGCUGGUCUGAGAGGACGAUCAGCCACACUGGGACUGAGACACGGCCCAGACUCCUACGGGAGGCAGC